rnacentral:rRNA from 2 species
GUGCCAGCAGCCGCGGUAAUACGUAGGUGGCAAGCGUUAUCCGGAUUUAUUGGGCGUAAAGCGAGCGCAGGCGGUUUUUUAAGUCUGAUGUGAAAGCCCUCGGCUUAACCGAGGAAGCGCAUCGGAAACUGGGAAACUUGAGUGCAGAAGAGGACAGUGGAACUCCAUGUGUAGCGGUGAAAUGCGUAGAUAUAUGGAAGAACACCAGUGGCGAAGGCGGCUGUCUGGUCUGUAACUGACGCUGAGGCUCGAAAGCAUGGGUAGCGAACAGGAUUAGAUACCCUGGUAGUCCAUGCCGUAAACGAUGAAUGCUAGGUGUUGGAGGGUUUCCGCCCUUCAGUGCCGCAGCUAACGCAUUAAGCAUUCCGCCUGGGGAGUACGACCGCAAGGUUGAAACUCAAAUGAAUUGACGGGG